rnacentral:rRNA from 1 species
UACGUAGGGGGCAAGCGUUGUCCGGAUUUAUUGGGUUUAAAGGGUGCGUAGGUGGUCUAUUAAGUCAGUGCUGAAAUAUCCCGGCUUAACCGUGAGGGUGGCAUUGAUACUGAUGGACUUGAGUAAAGUUGAGGUGGGCGGAAUUGACGGUGUAGCGGUGAAAUGCUUAGAUAUCGUCAAGAACACCUAUUGCGAAGGCAGCUCACUAAGCUUUAACUGACACUGAGGCACGAAAGUGUGGGGAUCAAACAGG